rnacentral:rRNA from 1 species
UCCUACGGGAGGCAGCAGUGGCGAAUAUUGCACAAUGGGGGGAACCCUGAUGCAGCGACGCCGCGUGAGCGAAGAAGUACUUCGGUAUGUAAAGCUCUAUCAGCAGGGAAGAAAAUGAAAAAACCUGACUUAGAAGCCCCGGCUAACUACGAACCAGCAGCCGCGGUAAUACGUAGGGGGCAAGCGUUAUCCGGAUUCACUGGGUGUAAAGGGAGCGCAGACGGCGGAGCAAGUCUGAAGUGAAAGCCCGCGGCCCAACCCCGGGUCUGCUUUGGAAACUGCCCAGCUAGAGUGUUGGAGAGGUAAGCGGAAUUCCUAGUGUAGCGGUGAAAUGCGUAGAUUUUAGGAGGAACACCAGUGGCGAAGGCGGCUUACUGGACGAUGACUGGACGGUGGGGGCUUGAAAGGGUGGGGGAGCAAACAGGAUUGGAUACCCUGGUGGUCCACGCCGUAAACGAUGAAUACUAGGUGUCGGUGGGGCAGAGCCCGUCGGUGCCGCAGCAAACGCAAUAAGUAUUCCGCCUGGGGAGUACGUUCGCAAGAAUGAAGCUCAAAGGAAUUGACGGGGACCCGCACAAGCGGUGGAGCAUGUGGUUUAAUUCGAAGCAACGCGAAGAACCUUACCAGGCCUUGACAUCCCAGUGACAGGGCAUGUAAGGUGUUUUUCCUUCGGGGCGCCCCAGACAGGUGGUGCAUGGUUGUCGUCAGCUCGUGUCGUGAGAUGUUGGGUUAAGUCCCGCAACGAGCGCAACCCUUAUUCUCAGUAGCCAGCGGGUAAAGCCGGGCACUCUGGGGAGACUGCCGGGGACAACCCGGAGGAAGGCGGGGAUGACGUCAAAUCAUCAUGCCCCUUAUGAUCUGGGCUACACACGUGCUACAAUGGCGCAGACAGAGGGAGGCGAAGCGGUGAGGUGGAGCAAACCCCAGAAAUGGCGUCUCAGUUCGGACUGCAGCCUGCAACUCGCCUGCACGAAGCCGGAAUCGCUAGUA